rnacentral:rRNA from 1 species
UACAGAGGUGGCAAGCGUUGUUCGGAAUUACUGGCGUAAAGGGCUCGUAGGCGGUCUGUUGCGUCAGGAGUGAAAACUCGGGGCUUAACCCCGAGCCUGCUUCUGAUACGGGCAGACUAGAGGUAUGCAGGGGAGAACGGAAUUCCUGGUGUAGCGGUGAAAUGCGCAGAUAUCAGGAGGAACACCGGUGGCGAAGGCGGUUCUCUGGGCAUUACCUGACGCUGAGGAGCGAAAGCGUGGGUAGCGAACAGG